rnacentral:sRNA from 1 species
AGCCGGUUUUACCGGCGCUAUUUCAACGCCGUCUCGCCGCAAUGGGACUGGCUUGCCUGGAUCCCCUGCCAGCACCGCAUCACGCUGCUCGAACAGCUGAUGCAGUGGCAGACGCCUGCUAUGACCGACGAGCAAUACCACUCACACACCUGACGCACCGGUCAUCCACUUUUCUGAGUAAUGGUGUUUUUCACCAGCCAGCCGGGUUUCCCGCUGGCUUUUUU